rnacentral:lncRNA from 1 species
AUGGUCGGACCUAGAGUGUCGGCCUCAUAGAUGUUACAGAAGGUCAAGCACAAUAGGAAGAUCAUGUCCACUAGGAUAGGAUGUGGAGUCCUGUCUUACAUGAUGAUGUGAAAUGCUAUGAUAUGAAUGAUAUGCUAUGAUGUGUGAUGCGGGUUCAUGUGUGCCCACAUGAACCAUAUGAUGCUAAUGUUUAUGUGAUGUGUACUGUUUUUCAGAAAACAGGAUGAGAGGAACUCGUCGAUCAGCAAGAUUGACUGGAGUACCACCUGAGGAUGAGGGCACGAGCGCCCGUCCUCCAGCAUUGCCUAGGGCGAUGUCUAGUAGGUCUAGCAGAGAAAGAGCAGUAAGAGACCCUAGAAGGUCUUUGGAUCUGGGUAGAAGCAGAUCAGUCAGAGGAACAGUUCAGGGAGGAGCAUCAGAGGGCAUGGGGGACGAUAUGGAUGUAGAG